GACGAACGCUGGCGGCGUGCUUAACACAUGCAAGUCGAACGAAGUGGCGAACGGGUGAGUAAUGCGUAAUCAACCUGCCCUUCAGGGGGGGACAACAGUUGGAAACGACUGCUAAUACCGCAUACUGCAGGAGGUGAUUGCGUUUACUGACCACGUUGGAGGGGUAACGGCCCACCAAGGCGAUGAUCAGUAGCCGGUCUGAGGGGAUGACCGGUAACAUUGGUACUGAGACACGGCCAGACUUUGACGGGGAGCAACAGUGGGGAAUCUUCCGGAAUGGAGGAGAGUCUGACGGAGCAACGCCGCGGGAGUGAUGACGGCCUUCGGGUUGUUAAGGUCUGUUAAUCGGGACGCGGUACCGGAAGAGAAAGCCACGGCUAACUACGUGCCAGCAGCCGCGGUAAUAC
rnacentral:rRNA from 1 species